GAUCCACGGGGAUGUGGAGACAGAUGCACUAUGACCACAAAAGGGAUACAUGAACUGGCAAGGUUGGAGUCAGCAAUAGCAACAGCAGAGGCAGAAGAAAUAGCUGCUGAU